rnacentral:SRP_RNA from 1 species
UCUGGGUGCAGUGGUGUGGGCCUGUAGUCCCAGCUACUCAGGAGGCUGAGGCUGGAGGAUCGCUUGGGUCCAGGAGUUCUGGGCUGUAGUGCGCUGUGUGGAUCAGGUGUCCGCACUGAGUUCAGCAUCAAUGUGGUGACCUCCCAGGAGCAGGGGACCACCAGGUUGCCUAAGGAGGUGUAAACUGGCCAAGGUAGGAAACAGAGCAGGUCAAAACUCCCAUGCUAAUCAGUAGUGGGAUCAUGCCUGUGAAUAGCCACUGCCCUCCAGCCUGGGCAACAUAGAGAGACCUGGUCUCU